ACGCGUGGGUAACCUGCCUUAUACAGGGGAUAACAGUCAGAAAUGGCUGCUAAUACCGCAUAAGCGCACAGAGCUGCAUGGCUCAGUGUGAAAAACUCCGGUGGUAUAAGAUGGACCCGCGUUGGAUUAGCUAGUUGGUGGGGUAACGGCCCACCAAGGCGACGAUCCAUAGCCGGCCUGAGAGGGUGAACGGUCACAUUGGGACUGAGACACGGCCCAGACUCCUACGGGAGGCAGCAUG
rnacentral:rRNA from 1 species